rnacentral:rRNA from 1 species
AGUGAACGCUGGCGGUAGGCCUAACACAUGCAAGUCGAACGGCAGCACAGGAGAGCUUGCUCUCUGGGUGGCGAGUGGCGGACGGGUGAGGAAUACAUCGGAAUCUACUCUGUCGUGGGGGAUAACGUAGGGAAACUUACGCUAAUACCGCAUACGACCUACGGGUGAAAGCAGGGGAUCUUCGGACCUUGCGCGAUUGAAUGAGCCGAUGUCGGAUUAGCUAGUUGGCGGGGUAAAGGCCCACCAAGGCGACGAUCCGUAGCUGGUCUGAGGGGAUGAUCAGCCAAACUGGAACUGGGACACGGUCCAGACUCCUACGGGAGGCAGCAGUGGGGAAUAUUGGACAAUGGGCGCAAGCCUGAUCCAGCCAUACCGCGUGGGUGAAGAAGGCCUUCGGGUUGUAAAGCCCUUUUGUUGGGAAAGAAAUCCAGCUGGCUAAUACCCGGUUGGGAUGACGGUACCCAAAGAAUAAGCACCGGCUAACUUCGCGCCAGCCGCCGCGGUAA